UUUCCCUACGGGGGGCAGCAGUGAGGAAUAUUGGUCAAUGGACGGAAGUCUGAACCAGCCAUGCCGCGUGCAGGAUGACGGCUCUAUGAGUUGUAAACUGCUUUUGUAUUAGGGAAAACACCCCUACGUGUAGGGGCUUGAAAGUAUAAUACGAAUAAGGAUCGGCUAACUCCGUGCCAGCAGCCGCGGUAAUACGGAGGAUCCAAGCGUUAUCCGGAUUUAUUGGGUUUAAAGGGUGCGCAGGCGGACCAUCAAGUCAGCGGUAAAAUCGUGGGGCCCAACCCCAUCCCGACGUUGAA
rnacentral:rRNA from 1 species